rnacentral:rRNA from 1 species
GGAAGGUCCGGGCGUUAUCCGGANUUANUUGGGUUUAAAGGGAGCGUAGGCGGAGANUUAAGCGUGUUGUGAAAUGUAGAUGCUCAACAUCUGAACUGCAGCGCGAACUGGUUUUCUNGAGUACGCACAAAGUGGGCGGAAUUCGUGGUGUAGCGGUGAAAUGCUUAGAUAUCACGAAGAACUCCGAUUGCGAAGGCAGCUUGCUGAACUGCAACUGACAUUGANGCUCGAAAGUGUGGGUAUCAAACAGGAUUAGAUACCCUGGUAGUCCACACGGUAAACGAUGAAUACUCGCUGUUUGNCAUAUANGGUNAGCGGCCAAGCGAAAGCGUUAAGUAUUCCACCUGGGGAGU